rnacentral:lncRNA from 1 species
AAAUGCACCGAUGUUUGUUGGCCACUGUGCACAUAUAUUUGUUUUUCUGUUGUGACUUGGAGAUCUUGCAGCCUUAAAAAUAUGUCUCAGAUUUAAGAAUGUGUAAACAAUGGCCAAGUAGCAGGUUUUCAUCAUCCCAUGAAUUAUAGGAGAUGCGGCUGUAGUUUUUAAGAUGUAUAGGAAAAGGCACUAGCCUAGGACUGGUUAUUGCAUUCUUAGUUAGGCUUUGUGUAGUUAAGAAAAUUGUAGUAUGUGCGCUGAUGUUGUCUUUGUACCAGUCAAAAUGAUGCGGGUUGUCCAAAGCACUGCAACACUUUUUUUACAGUGAUUCCUUUGUUGAAUGUAUGUUCCAGGUGGCAGCAGAUCCUCUUCUAAUGGCGUCGGAAUAAAUUCUCAGGUGAACCCAGAUGGCCUUAUAUUUGGAGGCGCUGAAAGAGGAUGCCUAAAUACGCAUGAAUAAAGGCAAAUGAUAAAUACAUUUGUUUCAUUUUCUGAUCCCACUGAUCAUGUUAAGCAAUGUGCCUACAACGACUACUAUAUGCGAUGAGUUUUUCUAAGCUGUGUUCCAUCUCUUAGUCUUGAUACAUAUGAUUAGUGCCCAUGUAAAUCAGUCAAGACAGUGUGCAUAUUUCUGGUUAUUUGGAUAGUGCUAAGAUACUCGGAGAAAUGUUUUUGAACUAGGAGCUCAUUAUAAUUUAUUUUCAUAGGAGUUCAGAUACCGGCAGUGCUUAUGUGUGUAUGUAUAGCUUAUGAAAGGCAUACAUAUAGUCAUACUCUUGUAGGGUUGCUACCUGCUGAAACAUGGGAUUGUUAUCCAUAUUAUCUUUAUGCACCUCAUGGAAAUUCUAUACAUUAGUCUGCUCAGGGGUCAUUAUGAUUUGAUCAUUUAAGUUGGGCAAUCCCUCUUACUCUUAUGUGCUGGAGUUCUCGAUCUAGGCAAUGAACUAGAAUUCUGUGUGUAUUUUAGCUUAAGCAAUGUAGGAUUCAGUAAUGGAUGUUGGAGCAACAUCUUUCAGAAUGUAAUUAAUUAAUUUUACUUCUCGCGAAGUAUAUUUCUUUUGUUUCAAUAAGAAUUAUGCACAACUCGAUAUUUAAAGGUGCAUUUGUCUAAGUUUCUUUAUUUCAAAACUGCAUAUGCAGGAGAGGCUCACACUGAGGGAGGGCUAAAUUGUGAGAUAUCCUUGUUUGGUCCUUUCCGUAUACCUACAAGGCAUGAACCAAGAUGGCAUGGUUUAUCAUUGACCUGAAUGCUUCCAUGGAACUUUGGUUUCAGGUGAUAACAUGAAUAUAUACUUUUUAUGGUUUGGCUAGAUGGUCCUUCUAGAUUUUGUCUGAUUGUGUACAAGUGGUCGGGUUAUAAUUACCAAAACCUCCUAUUUUCGACCGUGGCAGUUACUACCUUAAACAACGCUGAUCUUCUUUUAGUACUAUAGGUGUUUCCCACUGCCGCCACGUCCGCCCAGCUAGCGCGUCACAUCUGCCACUUCUCCUCAACGGUUUUAACAUAGGUAGCACGUGGGUUGUGCCUAUGUGAGCCAUGACGGUGCUGAAGGAAAUAUGCCCUAGAGGUAAUAAUAAAGUUAUUAUUUAUUUCCUCAUAUCAUGAUAAAUGUUUAUUAUUCAUGCUAGAAUUGUAUUAACCGGAAACAUAAUACAUGUGUGAAUACAUAGACAAACAUAGUGUCACUAGUAUGCCUCUACUUGACUAGCUCGUUAAUCAAAGAUGGUUGAGUUUCCUAGCCAUGGACAUGAGUUGUCAUUUGAUUAACGGGAUCACAUCAUUAGGAGAAUGAUGUGAUUGACUUGACCCAUUCCGUUAGCUUAACACUUGAUCGUUUAGUAUGUUGCUAUUGCUUUCGUCAUGACUUAUACAUGUUCCUAUGACUAUGAGAUUAUGCAACUCCCGUUUAUCGGAGGAACACUUUGUGUGCUACCAAACAUCACAACGUAACUGGGUGAUUAUAAAGGUUCUCUACAGGUGUCUCCGAAGGUACUUGUCGAGUCGGUAUUAUGAGUUUUGUGUUUUGAUGUAUCGAAGGUAGUUCAGAGUCCCGGAUAUGAUCACGGACAUGACGAGGAGUCUCGAAAUGGUCGAGACAUAAAGAUUGAUAUAUUGGAAGCCUAUAUUUGGACGUCGGAAGUGUUCCGGGUGAAAUCGGGAUUUUACCGGAGUACCAGGAGGUUACCGGAACCCCCGCCCCCCCGGAUGUAAUGGGCCUAUUGGGCCUUAGUGGAGAAGAGAGAGGGCAGCCAGGAGGUGGCGCGCGGCCGCCCUUGCCCCAGUCCGAAUAGGACAAGGGAAGGGGGCGGCGGCCCCCCCUCUCCUUCCUUCUCUCCACCUCCUCCUUCCCCCUUCUCCUACUCCUACUAGGAAAGGAGGAGUCCUACUCCUGGUGGGAGUAGGACUCCCCCCCUGGCGCGCCCUCCUUGGCCGGCCGCCUCUCCCCCCUUGCUCCUUUAUAUACUGGGGCAGGGGGGCACGUCUAGACACACAAGUUGAUCUGUUGAUCUAUUCCAGCCGUGUGCGGUGCCCCCCUCCACCAUAAUCCACCUCGAUCAUAUCAUAGCGGUGCUUAGGCGAAGCCCUGCGUCGGUAGCAACAUCAUCACCGUCACCAUGCCGUCGUGCUGACGGAACUCUCCCUCGAAGCUCUGCUGGAUCAGAGUUCGUGGGACGUCAUCGAGCUGAACGUGUGCUGAACUCGGAGGUGCCGUACGUUCGGUACUUGGAUCGGUCGGAUCGUGAAGACGUACGACUACAUCAACUGCGUUGUGCUAACGCUUCCGCUUUCAGUCUACGAGGGUACGUGGAUACACUCUCCCCUCUCGUUGCUAUGCAUCACCAUGAUACUGCGUGUGCGUAGGAAUUUUUUUGAAAUUACUACGUUCCCCAACAGUGGUAUCAGAGCCUGGUUUUAUGCGUAGAUGUUAUAUGCAUGAGUAGAACACAAGUGAGUUGUGGGCGAUACAAGUCAUACUGCUUACCAGCAUGUCAUACUUUGGUUCGGCGGUAUUGUUGGAUGAAGCGGCCUGGACCGACAUUACACGUACGCUUACACGAGACUGGUUCUACCGACGUGCUUUGCACAUAGGUGGCUGGCGGGUGUCAGUUUCUCCAACUUUAGUUGAACCGAGUGUGGCUACGCCCGGUCCUUGAGAAGGUUAAAACAACACUAACUGACGAACUAUCGUUGUGGUUUUGAUGCGUAGGUAAGAACGGUUCUUGCUCAGCCCGUAGCAGCCACGUAAAACUUGCAACAACAAAGUAGAGGACGUCUAACUUGUUUUUGCAGGGCAUGUUGUGAUGUGAUAUGGUCAAGACAUGAUGCUAUAUUUUAUUGUAUGAGAUGAUCAUGUUUUGCAACCGAGUUAUCGGCAACUGGCAGGAGCCAUAUGGUUGUCGCUUUAUUGUAUGCAAUGCAAUCGCCCUGUAAUGCUUUACUUUAUCACUAAGCGGUAGCGAUAGUCGUGGAAGCAAAAGUUGGUGAGACGACAACGAUGCUACGAUGGAGAUCAAGGUGUCGCACCGGUGACGAUGGUGAUCAUGACGGUGCUUCGGAGAUGGAGAUCACAAGCAUAAGAUGAUAAUGGCCAUAUCAUAUCACUUAUAUUGAUUGCAUGUGAUGUUUAUCCUUUAUGCAUCUUAUUUUGCUUUGGUUGACGGUAGCAUUAUAAGAUGAUCUCUCACUAAAUUUCAAGAUAAAACUGUUCUCCUUGAGUAUGCACCGUUGCCAAAGUUCGUCGUGCGGAGACACCACGUGAUGAUCGGGUGUGAUAAGCUCUACGUUCAUCUACAACGGGUGCAAGCCAGUUUUGCACUCGCAAAAUACUCGGGUUAAACUUGACGAGCCUAGCAUAUGCAGAUAUGGCCUCGGAACACUGUGACCGGAAGGUCGAGCGUGAAUCAUAUAGAAGAUAUGAUCAACAUAGUGAUGUUCACCAUUGAAAACUACUCCAUCUCACGUGAUGAUCGGACAUGGUUUAGUUGAUUUGGAUCACGUGAUCACUUAGAUGAUUAGAGGGAUAUCUAUCUAAGUGGGAGUUCUUAAGUAAUAUAAUUAAUUGAACUUAAAUUUAUCAUAAACUUAGUACCUGACAGUAUUUUGCUUGUCUAUGUGGUUGUAGAUAGAUGGCCCGUGCUAUUGUUUCGUUAAAUUUUAAUGUGUUCCUUGAGAAAGCAAAGUUGAAAGAUGAUGGUAGCAAUUACACGGACUGGAUCCGUAACUUGAGGAUUAUCCUCAUUGCUGCACAGAAGAAUUACGUCCUGGAAGCACCGCUGGGUGCCAGGCCUGCUGCAGAUGCAACUGACGACGUUAGGAACGUCUGGCAGAGCAAAGCUGAUGACAACUCGAUAGUUCAGUGUGCCAUGCUUUACGACUUAGAACCGGGACUUCAACGACGUUUUGAACGUCAUGGAGCAUAUGAGAUGUUCCAGGAGUUGAAGUUAAUAUUUCAAGCGAAUGCCCGGAUUGAGAGAUAUGAAGUCUCCAAUAAGUUCUACAGAUGCAAGAUGGAGGAGAAUAGUUCUGUUAGUGAACAUAUACUCAAAAUGUCUGGGUAUAACAAUCACUUGAUUCAACUAGGAGUUAAAUCUUCCGGAUGAUAGUGUCAUUGACAGAAUUCUUCAAGCACUGCCACCAAGCUACAAGAACUUCGUGAUGAACUAUAAUAUGCAAGGGAUGCAUAAGACAAUUCCCGAGCUCUUCGCAAUGCUAAAGGCUGCGGAGGUAGAAAUCAAGAAGGAGCAUCAAGUGUUGAUGGUCAACAAGACCACCAGUUUCAAGAAAAAGGGUAAAGGGAAGAAGAAGGGGAACUUCAAGAAGAACGGCAAACAAGUUGCUGCUCAAGAGAAGAAACCCAAGUCUGGACCUAAGCCUGAGACUGAGUGCUUCUACUGCAAGCAGACUGGUUACUGGAAGCGGAACUACCCCAAGUAUUUGGCGGAUAAGAAGGAUGGCAAGGUUAACAAAGGUAUAUGUGAUAUACAUCUUAUUGAUGUGUACCUUACUAGAGCUCGCAGUAGCACCUGGGUAUUUGAUACUGGUUCUGUUGCUAAUAUUUGCAACUCGAAACAGGGACUACGAAUUAAGCGAAGACUGGCUAAGGACGAGGUGACGAUGCGCGUGGGAAAUGGUUCCAAAGUCGAUGUGAUCACCGUCGGCACGCUACCUCUACAUCAACCUUCGGGAUUAGUUUUAGACCUAAAUAAUUGUUAUUUGGUGCCAGCAUUGAGCAUGAACAUUAUAUCUGGAUCUUGUUUGAUGCGAGACGGCAAUUCAUUUAAAUCUGACAAUAAUGGUUGUUCUAUUUAUAUGAGUAAUAUCUUUUAUGGUCAUGCACCCUUGAAGAGUGGUCUAUUUUUGUUAAAUCUCGAUAGUAGUGAUACACAUAUUCAUAAUGUUGAAGCCAAAAGAGGCAGAGUUGAUAAUGAUAGUUCAACUUAUUUGUGGCACUGCCGUUUGGGUCAUAUUGGUGUAAAGCGCAUGAAGAAACUCCAUACUGAUGGACUUUUGGAAUCACUUGAUUAUGAAUCACUUGGUACUUGCGAACCAUGCCUUAUGGGCAAGAUGACUAAAACGCCAUUCUCCGGAACAAUGGAGCGAGCAACAGAUUUGUUGGAGAUCAUACAUACUGAUGUAUGUGGUCCGAUGAAUAUUAAGGCUCGCGGCGGGUAUCGUUAUUUUCUCACCUUCACAGAUGAUUUGAGCAGAUAUGGGUGUAUCUACUUAAUGAAACAUAAGUCUGAAACAUUUGAAAAGUUCAAAGAAUUUCAGAGUGAAGUGGAAAAUCAUCGUAACAAGAAAAUAAAGUUUCUACGAUCUGAUCGUGGAGGAGAAUAUUUGAGUUACGAGUUUGGUCUACUUUUGAAACAAUGCGGAAUAGUUUCGCAACUCACGCCACCCGGAACACCACAGCGUAAUGGUGUGUCCGAACGUCGUAAUCGUACUUUACUAGAUAUGGUGCGAUCUAUGAUGUCUCUUACUGAUUUACCGCUAUCGUUUUGGGGUUAUGCUUUAGAGAUGGCAGCAUUCACGUUAAAUAGGGCACCAUCGAAAUCCGUUGAGACGACACCUUAUGAAUUGUGGUUUGGCAAGAAACCAAAGUUGUCGUUUCUUAAAGUUUGUUGCUGCGAUGCUUAUGUGAAAAAGCUUCAACGUGAUAAGCUCGAACCCAAAUCGGAGAAAUGUGUCUUCAUAGGAUACCCAAAGGAAACUGUUGGGUAACCUUCUAUCACAGAUCCGAAGGCAAGACAUUCGUUGCUAAGAAUGGAUCCUUUCUAGAGAAGGAGUUUCUCUUGAAAGAAGUGAGUGGGAGGAAAGUAGAACUUGAUGAGGUAACUGUACCUGCUCCCUUAUUGGAAAAUAGUUCAUCACAGAAAUCGGGUCCUGUGACACCUACACCAAUUAGUGAGGAAGCUAAUGAUAUUGAUCAUGAAACUUCAGAUCAAGUUACUACCGAACCUCGUAGGUCAACUAGAGUAAGAUCCGCACCAGAGUGGUACGGUAAUCCUAUUCUGGAGGUCAUGUUACUUGACCAAGGCGAACCUACGAACUAUGAAGAAGCGAUGGUGAGCCCAGAUUCCGCAAAAUGGCUUGAGGCCAUGAAAUCUGAGAUGGGAUCCAUGUAUGAGAACAAAGUGUGGACUUUGGUUGACUUGCCCGAUGAUCGGCAAGCCAUUGAGAAUAAAUGGAUCUUCAAGAAGAAGACUGACGCUGACGGUAAUGUUACUAUCUAUAAAGCUCGACUUGCUGCGAAAGGUUUUCGACAAGUUCAAGGGAUUGACUACGAUGAGACUUUCUCACCCGUAGCGAUGCUUAAGUCUGUCCGAAUCAUGUUAGCAAUUGCCACAUUUUAUGAUUAUGAAAUUUGGAAAAUGGAUGUCAAAACUGCAUUCCUGAAUGGAUUUCUGGAAGAAGAGUUGUAUAUGAUGCAACCAGACGGUUUUGUCGAUCCAAAGGGAGCUAACAAAGUGUGCAAGCUCCAGCGAUCCAUUUAUGGACUGGUGCAAGCCUCUCGGAGUUGGAAUAAACGUUUUGAUAGUGUGAUCAAAGCAUAUGGUUUUAUACAGACUUUUGGAGAAGCCUGUAUAUACAAGAAAGUGAGUGGGAGCUCUGUAGCAUUUCUGAUAUUAUAUGUGGAUGACAUAUUGCUGAUUGGAAAUGAUAUAGAAUUUCUGGAUAGCAUAAAAGGAUAUUUGAAUACGAGUUUUUCAAUGAAAGACCUCGGUGAAGCUGCUUACAUAUUAGGCAUCAAGAUCUAUAGAGAUAGAUCAAGAAGGUUGAUAGGACUUUCACAAAGCACAUACCUUGACAACGUUUUGAAGAAGUUCAAAAUGGAUCAAGCAAAGAAAGGGUUUUUGCCUGUGUUACAAGGUGUGAAGUUGAGUCAGACUCAAUGCCCAACCACUGCAGAAGAUAAAGAGAAAAUGAAAGAUGUUUCCUAUGCUUCAGCCAUAGGCUCUAUCAUGUAUGCAAUGAUGUGUACCAGACCUGAUGUGUGUCUUGCUAUUAGCCUAGCAGGGAGGUACCAAAGUAAUCCAGGAGUGGAUCACUGGACAUCGGUCAAGAACAUCCUGAAAUACCUGAAAAAGACUAAGGAUAUGUUUCUCGUUUAUGGAGGUGACAAAGAGCUAGUCGUAAAUGGUUACGUUAAUGCAAGCUUUGACACUGAUCCAGACGAUUCUAAAUCGCAAACCGGAUACGUGUUUACAUUGAACGGUGGAGCUAUCAGUUGGUGCAGUUCUAAACAAAGCGUCGUGGCGGGAUCUAUGUGUGAAGCGGAGUACAUAGCUGCUUCGGAAGCAGCAAAUGAAGGAGUCUGGAUGAAGGAGUUCAUAUCCGAUCUAGGUGUCAUACCUAGUGCAUCGGGUCCAAUGAAAAUCUUUUGUGACAAUACUGGUGCAAUUGCCUUGGCAAAGGAAUCCAGAUUUCACAAGAGGACCAAGCACAUCAAGAGACGCUUCAAUUCCAUCCGGGGCCAAGUCCAGGUGGGAGACAUAGAGAUUUGCAAGAUACAUACGGAUCUGAAUGUUGCAGACCCGUUGACUAAGCCUCUUCCACGAGCAAAACAUGAUCAGCACCAAAACUCCAUGGGUGUUAGAAUCAUUACUGUAUAAUCUAGAUUAUUGACUCUAGUGCAAGUGGGAGACUGAAGGAAAUAUGCCCUAGAGGAAAUAAUAAAGUUAUUAUUUAUUUCCUCAUAUCAUGAUAAAUGUUUAUUAUUCAUGCUAGAAUUGUAUUAACCGGAAACAUAAUACAUGUGUGAAUACAUAGACAAACAUAGUGUCACUAGUAUGCCUCUACUUGACUAGCUCGUUAAUCAAAGAUGGUUGAGUUUCCUAGCCAUGGACAUGAGUUGUCAUUUGAUUAACGGGAUCACAUCAUUAGGAGAAUGAUGUGAUUGACUUGACCCAUUCCGUUAGCUUAACACUUGAUCGUUUAGUAUGUUGCUAUUGCUUUCGUCAUGACUUAUACAUGUUCCUAUGACUAUGAGAUUAUGCAAAUCCCGUUUACCGGAGGAACACUUUGUGUGCUACCAAACAUCACAACGUAACUGGGUGAUUAUAAAGGUUCUCUACAGGUGUCUCCGAAGGUACUUGUCGAGUUGGCGUAUUUUGAGAUUAGGAUUUGUCACUCCGAUUGUCGGAGAGGUAUCUCUGGGCCCUCUCGGUAAUGCACAUCACUAUAAGCCUUGCAAGCAAUGUGACUAAUGAGUUAGUUGCGGCAUGAUGCAUUACGGAACGAGUAAAGAGACUUGCCGGUAACGAGAUUGAACUAGGUAUUGAGAUACCGACGAUCGAAUCUCGGGCGAGUAACAUACCGAUGACAAGGGACAACGUAUGUUGUUAUGCGGUUUGACCGAUAAAGAUCUUCGUAGAAUAUGUAGGAGCCAACAUGAGCAUCCAGGUUCCGCUAUUGGUUAUUGACCGGAGACGUGUCUCAGUCAUGUCUACAUAGUUCUAGAACCCGUAGGGUCCGCACGCUUAAAGUUCGGUGACGAUCGGUAUUAUGAGUUUUGUGUUUUGAUGUACCNNNNNNNNNNNNNNNNNNNNNNNNNNNNNNNNNNNNNNNNNNNNNNNNNNNNNNNNNNNNNNNNNNNNNNNNNNNNNNNNNNNNNNNNNNNNNNNNNNNNNNNNNNNNNNNNNNNNNNNNNNNNNNNNNNNNNNNNNNNNNNNNNNNNNNNNNNNNNNNNNNNNNNNNNNNNNNNNNNNNNNNNNNNNNNNNNNNNNNNNNNNNNNNNNNNNNNNNNNNNNNNNNNNNNNNNNNNNNNNNNNNNNNNNNNNNNNNNNNNNNNNNNNNNNNNNNNNNNNNNNNNNNNNNNNNNNNNNNNNNNNNNNNNNNNNNNNNNNNNNNNNNNNNNNNNNNNNNNNNNNNNNNNNNNNNNNNNNNNNNNNNNNNNNNNNNNNNNNNNNNNNNNNNNNNNNNNNNNNNNNNNNNNNNNNNNNNNNNNNNNNAGAGGGCAGCCAGGAGGUGGCGCGCGACCCCCCUUGCCCCAGUCCGAAUAGGACAAGGGAAGGGGGCGGCGGCCCCCCUCUCCUUCCUUCUCUCCACCUCCUCCUUCCCCCUUCUCCUACUCCUACUAGGAAAGGAGGAGUCCUACUCCCGGUGGGAGUAGGACUCCCCCCCUUGGCGCGCCCUCCUUGGCCGGCCGCCUCUCCCCCCUUGCUCCUUUAUAUACGGGGGCAGGGGGCACCUUUAGACACACAAGUUGAUCUGUUGAUCUAUUCCAGCCGUGUGCGGUGCCCCCCUCCACCAUAAUCCACCUCGAUCAUAUUGUAGCGGUGCUUAGGCGAAGCCCUGCGCCGAUAGCAACAUCAUCACCAUCACCACACCGUCGUGCUGACGGAACUCUCCCUCGAAGCUCUGCUAGAUCGGAGUUCUUGGGACGUCAUCGAGCUGAACGUGUGCUGAACUCGGAGGUGCCGUACGUUCGGUACUUGGAUCGGUCGGAUCAUGAAGACGUACGACUACAUCAACCACGUUGUGAUAACGCUUCCGCUUUCAGUCUACGAGGGUACAUGGACACACUCUCCCCUCUCGUUGCUAUGCAUCACCAUGAUCCUGCGCGUGCGUAGGAAAUUUUUUGAAAUUACUACGUUCCCCAACAGUUGCUGCCCGCGCCCCUGCCUCAUUCGUGAGCAUCACCAAGCACUAGGAGUCUAGGACUGACAUAUAACUGGAGUAUUGAGUACUGAGUUUCAAUACACCACGUCGAUUAACCUCUGUCCAAGGCGAACAUGAGAAUGAUACUCUAGAUAUGGUCCCACUUAUUCUGGUUCAUAAAAUGCAGUAGGUAAGGAAUUCAUUUAUUUUAGUUCCUAGAUUACCUCGCCGUCGCCACCGCCUGCGCUCGCCCACGCGUUUUGCAAUGAAUAUUAGUAUCUGAAAAGGCUGACCAGUUUUGCAAUGAAUAUUUAUAUUUUCCAUUACAUUUGGUCAUAAGAUUUUACUUUGCUUUGCCAGGAGAGUUUCACUUCAUGUAGCGGCGUGGAUGUGCGGGGAAGUGGUUCCUCGCCGGCUGGACGGCGUUCAGGCGCAACCCCGGCGCCCACUGAGUACUGCCUCGGCUACAACCUCCCUCGGUGAUCUCCAACUUCCUCCUGCUCCUCUGCUUUGGCUACUGUAUGGGACAUGGCCGGCUAUGAUGAUCAAAUAUGGCUGAUAUAGGCAUGCUCUCAAGCAAUCGAGGCACCUGUGGGUAUUAAGUUGGACCCCCCCCUCGGUUCUUUGAGCCGUUUUGAUCACGUUCUUAUUUUAGUGGCUCUGUCCUUGCAUGGCCAUUUCUGAUGAGUGGUAACCAUCCAGAAAUAGGAGAAGAAGGCCUCACCGAGCCUCCUCAGCAAUUUGGAUCCUGGGCCGUUGGACUCGGUGAAGAAGGCCUCAGCAAGCCUCCUCAGCGAUUUGGAUUCCUGGUCGUUGGAUCUGGCUGCUUGAUGUACGUUCGGCCGUUGUAUCGAGAGGUGGGAGGAGCUGGGCCGUCGGAUCGGAGAGGGGUAACUGUAGGAAUGAAUAGUUACUGCCUCCACGCGCUGCCGCUUACUUCGCCUGUUCGACCUGGACCCGCUGACCUGUGGGGCCGCUCGCGGGUGGGCCGCAUUGGUCAGUGACCGUGGCUGUGUGCGUGGCAUGUUCGUGCUGUUGCGCGCACCGGCGGGUAAAUAUCCCGCGCCACCGCACGUAAUAUCUUGCCCCCACCGAGGGUAUUUCGGUCUUUUCGCGUCCAGGCCUCGUGCGUGGUGGGCGGUGGUUGGCCCGUGCGGCUAUGGGGUGGGGGAGGGCAGCGUCUUGCCUCUCCUCUCGCUGCCGAUGCUCGUGGCGGAGGCUAUUCUUUUUAGGGCGAUGAUGAUUAACCGUGGCUGAAAUAAGUGUGCCUUUGAGCAAUUGAGGCACCUGUGGGUAUCAAGUUGGAUCCUCCCUGUUGUCUCUAGAAUCCUUUUUGAUCUUGUGAUACCUGUUGUCCUAUCCUUGGAUGGUCAUUCUUGUUGAGUGAUAACCAGGGCAGCUCCACUAUAUAAACAGAUUGAUCUGGUGAUAAGAGAUGACGGGGGCAGGUUAUAUGAUCAAGGAAAGUCGAAUCUGAGCCCACUAUGCAAUGAACCUUGAACCCUUUUUAUUUGUAUUUAAAGGUGUUGCUUAUUUAUGCUUCAGUGUUUAUAGCUGUCUUAUGUAAAGAUUUCUUGUCUCUCAUACCUUUAUUGCAUUUAAGUUGUUCUUGAUCUUUUAUUGUUUGUUGUUGGUCCUUGAUUUAAUCUGGUUAAGAGUAAGUUGCACUUUGUUAUACUAGAAAGACUCGUUCCCAGCAAGUUAACGGUUGAAUGGCUUAUUUUAAUUCGGUGUGAUACUAUUACUUCAAUUUUUCAGCAAGUUAUUUUUUCUUACAUGCUACAAAUAAUAAUGCUACAGGAUUUUUGAGUGUUUUUUGGAGAUAAUGUUGGAUUGUUCAUGUAAAGGGUGUGUGAGGUAGCAUGUCCCAUGUUGUUGUCUGUAUCCAUAGACAAUUUUUCGACUGUUUUGAUUAAGUUGCUGGGUUAAUCCGAGCCAUUGAGCGGCCAUUUCAUUUUGUUUUCUGUAUAGCUUGUGCUGAAGCUUUCCCCAAUUUUGUCUGUCAGCCCUGCAUUUUUUGGAUCGCACACUAGACUAAAUGUAGUGAAUUUUGAAGGAUGUGUAUUUUGUUGGCUUUGUAAUUUAUUUCCUUGCUAAAUAAGCAUUUGGGGUUAUUUUGUUUUGUUGCUACCUUCUAGACGACGGGCGAGCGGGCGGAUCUGUGGACGGCAUCACCACAACCAUAUUCUGAUGGUCUGAUCUCGAGGUGAAAAUAUUCUCUUUGUCUCUCAUUUAUGUUAGUUGAAUAGUUACUUGAUUUGAUGUUGGUUAGCGUACUGCAUGCUAUUUCUAAUUUUUUUAGUCCCAUUCGCAACUACAACUUGCACGAUAAGGACGAUCGGAUAAUUCUAAUUUCUAAUUUGUGUUAGUCCCAUGGAUGGUAACAAUCUUUUACUAUUUCUUAUUGUAUACUAUCGUAUAGUGCCUCCCUACUUGCUCAAAAUCAAAUGUACAUCUAUGAGAAGGUACAAAUUAAGGUCGGUACGAUAGCAGUAGAUUGGCAUGUUUGCAGAAAAAAUAGCCAUGUAAGUUCAAAAGAACGUCUUUAACUAUUGCUGCUAUAUGCUUUGUAUAUUUCCUCUCUGGUUCCUUCAAAAUCGGAGAGAGCCAAGGUCUCCAUUGUUGAUUUUGAAGGAAGCAGAGAGGACAGAAAAUGUAUAUAGCAGGAAUAUGUUAAAAUAUGUUCUUUUGAACUUACAUGUUGACGACGUCCUUGAUGGCGAGUAAAUAGUUAAAUGAUGUUCGUUUGAUGGCGAGUAAAUAGUUUGGCAUGCUCCAGUUUAUGGAGUACUCUUGGAAACUUAUUCUUCCUAUCUUUAUUUUUAAGGAGUUUAGAAUCUAGAUACAAAUGAUUAUGUAAGGAUACAACCCUUGAAAACUAUGUAUAUUCUUAUAGGUAAAUGAGCGAAAUACUUACUGUUGGCCAUUCAAUUACUGAAAUUGAAGUAAGACCUUCAAUUGAGACACCAAAAAUGUUAUUUACGGUGAGCGCUUCCAAUCUGCCGGAUUCUCUUGGUUACAUGCCAUUAUUAAAAGAUGAAUUUGCAUCAUAAAACUCUUCAUAAAUUAUUGCUAAUUGUAAGAGAAAUGUUCUGCUUGAUAUUAUUCUCCAAAUGGUUAAUUUGCUCUGUAUACAAAAAUUUAGAUUGUCAUUCUGCUAAUUUUGCUUCUUCUAUUUUAGGACAAUUGUACUCAUUAUGCUGUCUGUAAGGAGAAGUUUGUUUGCCCUAUGGAUUUUUUUUAUAACAAGCUAUUCUUACCAGGCCCACAAAACUUUAACUGGGCUCUGCCCAUUUACGGGAGAUGUGCAAUAGGCGAGGAUACAAAGUGACGAGUCCUUUGAUGGUGCUCGGUUUUCUCCUUUCCAUGGUGCCACGCCUCAAUCCACUGCUCACAACCACAACGAGCUCGAAUCGAUUGAGGAACGAGUCCUGCGGACGUUUCUCAGGAUCAAUCUUCGGCCAUGUUCGGUAUGUUAUUAGCUCCCGUCCAUUCCUUUCUCUAUUGCUCUCUUCCAAGAUAUGUUAUGCUUCUACGAGCAUGUCAUGAGAAGUAGGCGCAAUACAUGGGCGUUCAGAGCACUCGCGACUUCCAUUCGGUUCAGUGUGGAGGUUUUAUUUGUCCUUGCAGCAUGUACUCUCCAGUCUCCUCUCGCCUCCUCUACCCUUCCUGACUGCUCUCUUUCCCUUCCGCUUUCUCUUAUUCAGAAUGCCUUUGCUUUUUUUGCGGUGAAGAAUGCCUUUGCUUCCACGCUGUUAUUGUAACUGCAUAAGAAAAUGAAUACACAUGCGUAUGUUUUUGUUCAUGUUCAAAAAUACAAGUGCUGCUAUACUGAUUACCAUCUAUUCCUGAAAAAAUAGAUAAUGAAAAUCAGCUUAUUGCUUCACCUCAGUCUCAUAGAGAAGCUUAUUGUAGUAUACAUGUGUACUUCCGAUUAUGACAUGAUAUUAGUAGAGUCUGAUCUUUUAUGCCAUGAAGAAUAUGUUAUUUUCGAACAUAGAAUGACAUUCCAUGUGUUCUUCAAAUUUAUUACGGACAAUUAUUAUUUUUGAUGAUUGGUUACAGAUAAAUUAUUCCUAAACAAGCAUGAAAAUGAAUAUUAAUACGGUUUCACUCUUCCUAGGGCACUUGCAGCAACCACAUUAUGAAAGGAUCAACGAGGAGCGAUCUGAUCUGCAUCGGUGUCGAUGAAGGUAAAAUUCCGAUAUAUCCUCCUAUAGGACUUUAGUACUACUUGUAAUGGACGUCCACGGAUCACCUAUUCUAACUCUGGCAAGUACCCGAUGAUAUAUGAUGCCACCAGCCCCUGUGAUGUACCAUGUGAUCUGCCUCUUCUUUUGUGAACACGUCCCCUUUGACAUGUCUAUCCAUCCUUUUGUACUCAAUAUCUACCGUGUAUGAACAUUGCAUCCUUUAGUUUACCCUGUAUAUGAACAUUGCAUCCUUCAAAUUUGUUAUACUAUUGUUCUGGUGGAUAUGGAGAUGUGUUCUACUACAGUGUCGGUGUCCAUCGAUGAUGCUUUGCUCCUAUUACAUGUGAAUGUUUCUUCUUUCUUUUAUUUUGUUAUCAUGAUUGAAUACGUACGCUAAGCCUGUCUUUCUAAUAACUUGACCAUUACUUUUUUUUCUGCGGGGUCACUUGACCAUUACUUGCUUGGUCACAUCGUUGGGACCGGCACCCUUGCGUCAAGGCACGAUGCCGGUCUAGUACAUGUGGACGCAGCCACGACAAGGAGUCAGGUGAGGGGCUCGGCGGUGGCUGUAUGCCGAGAUGCAAAGGGAAAUUAUAUGGGCAGUUCCUCAUUGGCAAUUCAUUGCAUAAAUGAUGCAGCUAUGUUGGAAGCUAUUGCUUGUCCAGAGGCUUUAUCUCUCACAGAGAAUCUUAUUCCUCAAAAAAAAAUCAUUGCUCCGGUUUUUUUUUGCGACUGAAAAAGGGGCUUUAUUAAUUAUGGAAUAGUUGUACAAUCGCUUGCCAGAUAGCUCACAAGAGCAGCUGGAGGCACCUGCAGCCACAAAUCGGUGAUGUGCUCCACUCUCGACAUAUAGGCAAGGCGAUCUGCAGUUCUAUUCUGCAAACGACCAACAAGACGUAUCACAAGCUCCCUUUCUCUCAUCAUCUCCUUAAUCUCCAUUACAAGGUGACCUACAAUUGAUUUGUCUGUCUCUGGACUUUCCACAGCUUUUACCAAAGAAGCACAGUCGGUUUGAACAAUCAGUGGCAAGGUUGUAUGCCGCAGUGCCGCACCGAUGCCCUCCCGAGCUGCCACACAUUCAGCUUCCAGAGCACUUGAGCAGUGCUGUAUAAACCAGCAUGCCGAAAAUAUGUGUUCGCCCCUACUAUUCCUGGCUACCAUUGCAGCACCAGCCGUGUGAGUAUUUGCAUCAAAUGAGCCAUCCAGCGACACAGCAAGCCGCCCCUCUGGUGGAGGUGGCCAUGGGCUUGACUCCUGCUCUCUUGCCGCUCGUUGCGGCUGAGCCACCAAACCAUCAGGUCUAACUACACCCUUCCCUUUUAGCAUCUCAUAACCCUUGUCAAAUCUUAUUUGAUUCAGAGAUGCCAUAUAGCUCUGCAAGAAACCUCUUGUGGCCUCAACCGGCGCUACAUUCUUGUCAUGCAGGGCAUCAUUGCGCAACUGCCAGUUCCUCCAUAUGAUCAUCAAGAUUUUUGCCCGGACCUCCUCCUCAAGGGUAACUAGCAGAUCAAAGAGCCAUUCAUGGCCUGUGUUUAUAAUCACCUCCUUUGCUGAGAUGUUCCAGACUUCCCCCAUAGCAUCCCAAACAGCGCUGGAGAUAGGGCACGCCACAACAGCAUGAAAGCUGUCUUCUAUUCCUCGACAGCACCUUGGACAUUCAUCCGGCACUCCCAAAUGUUUAGACUUCAUCACUUGUCGUGUGGGUAACCCAUCCUUCAAUAAUUUCCAUGCACAAAUCUUCACUUUCUGUGGUACCGGGAUUUUCCAAAACAUCCUCCAGACUGGUCGGUCUCCCUCUGGUCUCGUACUAGACGAGACACCCCCCUGAUUCUGUAUAACCUCUGUGACCGCAAGGUGGUAUGCACUUCUAACCGAGAACCGCCCGUCCUUCUCCAUAUGCCACGCGAGAACAUCCUCAUCCAUUCUACGAGAUACCUUAAUUUUCAAAAUCUCCUGCACAUCUGCUCGUAUCAUAAAUUCAUUAAGGCGAGCCUCAUUCCACGACCCAUCUGGUAAGAGGAAAUCGUCAACACGAUUGUACCUGCAGGUUCCCCGCUCUCCCAACAGCUUUCGAGUGCCCCCACGGGGUAUCCAAGGAUCCCUCGAUACCCUGACUUUCUUACCAUUGCCCACCCUCCAUGUUAUUCCUUUUUUUAAUAGCUCCAAUCCGUGUUCAAUGCCUCUCCAGACUGGAGACGCAUUUCCCGCGGAUACAGUGUCAAUGAGGUUGCCAUAUUUGUAGUACCUUGUUGGAACCUUUUUAUUCGGUUAAUAAGAUGGCCGUAUGCAUCAUUCUGAUGCAGAGACCGGAGAGAUCCCCCUUUUCGAAAAAUAAAUAUCUGUAGUACCUUGCUUUCAAUAGCCUUGCACAUAGACUCUCCGGUCUAUCAAUUAGUUGCCAUGCUUGACGAGCUAAUAGAGCUUGGUUAAAAAGUCUCAUGUCGCGGAACCCUAGGCCGCCUUGAUUCUUUGGGCGUAGUAAUUUUUCCCAUGCAAUCCGGUGCGUCCUACGUUUUCCUUUCUCUGAUCCCCACCAAUAGCUCCUUAUCAUUUGAGUUAGUUCAUCACAAGUCAAAGCCGGCAGUCUGAAAACACUCAUCAUGUAUGUCGGUAUUGCCUGUGCAAUUGACUUAAUCAGUGUCUCCUUUGCCCCACUUGAAGCCUGCUUCUCACCCAAAUCAAAAAACCUCCUGCUCAAGCUUGCCUGAAGGGAUUGAAAUUUUCACCUAUUCAUUCGGCCUUCAGGUACCGGCAGGCCCAAAUAACGGUCCUCAAAAUGUUCACUCAGCACACCAAGUAUGCGUUUGAUCCUUUGUUGUUUCCCAUGUGGGCAUACAUCCGCAAACAUCAUGCUGCACUUCGAAGGGUUUAUCAACUGCCCUGUUGCCGAAGAGUACCGGUCUAAAAUGUCCCUCACCAUCAUAGCCUGCUCCUCUGUUGCCUGGAAAAAUAAGAGUGUGUCGUCUGCAAAGAGUAGGUGCGAUAUAGCCGGCGCCGUUCUGCAGAUCACAACCGGCCUCAAACCUCCGGUUGCUACUGCAUCCUGUAUCAAACUCGACAACGAGUCAGCGACAAAUAGGAAAAGGAAAGGCGACAAGGGGUCACCUUGCCGUAAACCUCGCGAUGGUGAAAAUUGGUCCAGAAGCUUUCCAUUAAAAUUCACUCGGAAGCGGACUGUAGUCACACAUUGCAUGAUCCAUUGGACCCAUUUAGAAGAGAAACCCAUCUUCAUCAUUGCGCUCUCGAAGAAGCUCCAAUCUACCUUGUCGUAGGCUUUCGAAAGAUCAAGUUUAUAAGCACAAUUGUUUGCCUCCGGGUUGUGUUCUUGCUGGAUAUAAUGCAUCACUUCAAAGGCCACAAUUGCGUUAUCCGAGAUCAAACGCCCAGGCACAAAGGCACUUUGGCUCUCGGAUAUAAAUCAUUGCUCCAGUUCGAAGCAGAUCGUCAAGGAUAUAGAGAAAGAAGGCUACAGAGUAUAUGGGAACAUCACUAGUGAGAUUAAUAGGAGGUCUCAAAUGUUUAAUUAUACUUUUUCCUUUGAAGAUUGAGGUGCUGAUAGCAAUGUCGAUAGGUUAGUCAAGUUCUCGCAUUCUCUCGAUCAGGGGCGACACGUCUGAUUGGUCCAACCCCAUCAUUCUUUCUGUAUCCCACAUCGCGUGGAUUUUGAGUAAUAAAACUUGAUGAUACCCCAAAAAUGUAUAAUGGAUCGUCUCUUAGUCUAUGUAUCCCAUGGUUUCGUGAUUUUAGUCUAUGUAAUUAUUGUUCGUAGGUUUAGGAUUUUUAGUGAUUUCCAAAGCGGCCGAUCUUACCAAAUUCAUUAGUUGUUUUUAACACAGUACAAACACAAACGCUCGUACAUACGCACAUGCACUCACACUAUAAACACACACACACACACACUCUACUCUUAUGAGCAUCCCUGAGAGAUGGAGCCGACAUAUAAUCUUAAUAUUGACAAACUCGUCACAGACGUCUUUGUACUUGGUGGGAAUGUCUCCUCCCACGGUACGCACAUCGCCGAAAGGCCUGAAAUAAAUCCAGAAAAAUAUGAGCACCGGUGUCAAGUCUAAAACUUAAACCCUUAUGGAAUGAGGAUAUCACUGUCCUCCUAACCAUUCAACCAUAGGUCGGUUUGCAAGUUCACUAGUUUCAAGAGGGUUAGAUCAGCGGCGAGUCUACUAGGGGGCUUCAACAGGCUGAAGCCUACACUCCAGAAAAACGAAAUUUUCUUUUACUAGUACUAAACUAAUCUCGUCCCAGCCCAAUAGCCCAACUUCUCAGCCUAUGUAGUAUUAGCGAGUAGCAAACAAACCACGCCGCACACGCACAGAGAACAGAACAGGCGACUCACGAACACACAUCGGCGGCAGCCAUGCGCUCAUGCUCAUACUCCAACCCUAGCGCCGCCGGCGGGGGACCAAGGUGCCGCCAGGGUAGACGUUGUGGUAGAGCUCAGCCGUAGCCACAGCUGAUUUAGGCAGGGGAUGCAGUUUGCAGGAGGUCGCCGGCCUGCUGACAUGUGUGGGGNNNNNNNNNNNNNNNNNNNNNNNNNNNNNNNNNNNNNNNNNNNNNNNNNNNNNNNNNNNNNNNNNNNNNNNNNNNNNNNNNNNNNNNNNNNNNNNNNNNNNNNNNNNNNNNNNNNNNNNNNNNNNNNNNNNNNNNNNNNNNNNNNNNNNNNNNNNNNNNNNNNNNNNNNNNNNNNNNNNNNNNNNNNNNNNNNNNNNNNNNNNNNNNNNNNNNNNNNNNNNNNNNNNNNNNNNNNNNNNNNNNNNAACUGAACCGGAUGCACUGUUAACUAAUUUAGUGUCCAAUCAAACUAUUUGCAGAUUGGCAAAAAGAAUUGAAGAGAAAAAAUACGACUAUAUGUAUAGUUUUGCAACUAAAUCCUGAACCUAUCCCAGCUUGUGCAUGUGUAAUCCAAACUUUAGUUAAAAUUUUCAUAUUUUUCAACUAAAAAAUUCCAGUAGAAAAUACAUGUUUCCGGUACUAGUCUGGGAAAAUUAAAGCUUAUUUGGACCACGGGAUUAUGAGGCAAUGAUUUGUUUCUUUAAAAUGAUGUUUAGUUCUCUCAGCUUUAACUUUGAGCCCACCCUCCAUUUUGUUCCUAGAUUCGUCACUGGGUUAGAUAGAGGUCAAGCUACUGUAAAUUUUAGGACCGGCUAGGGGUUAGUUGGCUGAAAAAGAAAUUUUCGGCAUGAUUUAGUCAAUAUGUGGGUUGGAAUGCUUCUUCCAGCCCUCAAGACUUCUCCCAAUUUACAACUAGUAGUUUGCUGGUUCAUCAACAGUUCAACCGAGGUAGCCACAUGUAUUCUCAACACGUAGCAGGUUGGUCGGCUAGCUACCUGCAUGCGCGACCACACGCGCUACCGAUGCUCGUGCGAACGGCUCCCGUCUCGUUGGUCAAAAACAUCACCACAGCCAGGAGUGCUUCUCUAAAAAUUCUAAACUCUUGUAUGUGCGCGUGCAUGUUCAUUUAUGGGAGUAUAAGCAUAUAAUAAUAGAAUUUUUAAAAACAUUUCCUCAGACGGAAUUAAUUAAUGGCAUUGGUAUUAUUCUUAGGGAAGAAAUAAAAUAAAAUACAAUAGAAAGAAUCAAAACAAUGACAUUUCCAAAGGAAUAAUGAAUUAGUGCCAUUGGUAUUACCCUUUAAGAAGAAAGAAAAUAAAAAAUAAUUUAUAAUAAUUUUUUUUUGCACAUAACUUACAUUGAAAUUACACUUUUUACAAUGUGCAAUAAGAAGCAUAUAAUACUGGAAUUUUCCGAUGAAAAAAAGGUUUCCUAAGAAGAAUGAAUUAGUGAUAUUUGUAUUAUAAGAAAAAGAAAAGAAAUAAAAUUUAAAAAAUUAAAAUAACAAAGUUUUUCUAAGAAAGAAUUAAUUAAUGGAUUCGGUGUUACCCUUUUAGAAGAAACAAAAUGAAAAUAUAAAAUAUAACAAAAUCAUAAUAAUGAAAUUUUCUAAAAAAUAAUUAAUUAUUGGCAUUGGCAUUACAAAAUAAAUAAAAUAGAAAAAAUCUAAAACAAAUAUUGACACAAUUUACAUAUAAAUUGCAAUUUUUUACAAUAUGCUAGAACAAGCAUCACAAAAAUAAAUAAGUUAUUUAAAUAAGAAUGAAUUGAUGGCAUUGGUAUUACCUUAAAAUAAAAAAUAAAUAUAAAUAAAAACAUAAAAUCAAAAACAAUGAAGUUUUUCCAUGGAAGAAUGAAUUAGUGACCUUGGUAUUACACUUUCAAAAGAAAGAAAAUGAAAUAUAAACUAAAAAAAUUAUAAUUAUGAAAAUUUCUAUGAAAGAAUGAAUUAGUUGCAUUAGUAUUACCCUUUAAGAAGAAAGAAAAUAAAAAAAUAAGAAAUAAUGAAAAAAAUUACACACAAAUUACAAAGAAAUUGCGCUUUUUUGUAAGAUGCAACAAUAAGCAUAUAACACUAGAAUUUCAAAACAAAUAAAGUUUUGUAAAAAGGAAUGACUUUAGUGGCAUUGGUAUUAUCCUUGAAAGAAACAAAAACUAAAACAAAAUAAUGAAGUUUCCUAUGAAUUACUGACAUUUGUAUUACACUUUAAGAAGAAAGAAAACGGAAAAAAUAAAGCAAAUAAGAGAAAUGUUGCAGAAAACUUACACAAAAGUUAUGUUUUUUUAUAAUAUGCAAAAACAAGCAUAUAAUAGUGAAAUUUCAGAAAAUAAAAGUUCCCUGAUAAGGAAUGAAUUAGUUGAAUUGUUAUCAACCUUAAAGAAGAAAGAAAAUGAAAUAAAAAAACUGAAACAUAACCAAAAUAUUGUACUUUUUAAGGUAGAAUAAAGUAGUGGUAUUGGUAUUAUCUUUUAAGAAGAAAAAAGCUUGCACACAACUUUGCACUUUUUAAUGUGUAAGCAAUAAACAUGUAAUAGUGUAGUUUUUACAAAUAAUUUAUACAAAUGUUUAUGUAGUACUUACAUGUAUACAUUUUACACUCAGAAAAGGAAAACAAUAAAAGCAAAAGAGUCAUAUAAACAGAAGAAUAAGAAGAAGCAUGCCGGCCUAUAAACAAGCAACAGGAAACACAAAAUGGGCUUCAGCCCAAUAAGAAAUCAAAUGACCUAGAACAAUGGUGAGUCAAAAAUUUCAGCCCAAAACAUGACAGCAGAUACAAUAGGAAAAAAAGGCAAGAAUCAUCAAGCGGAAAUCAAUGCCUCAAAAGUUGACUAAUCCAAAUUUAUUUUUCACACGACUUACAUAUAGCUAAAGUGAUAAUUUGUAUUUAUGUCUCACCUCUGUAAACUACAGGGCACUGGCGGAGCUACUGCAAGGCCAAGUGGGCCGUAGGCUACCCAACCCAUGGCCAAAACAUUGAAGAGUAUAGGUAAAACUGGGCUUGUUAAGAGAGAAAAGUGUGUUUUCUUCAGCUCGGCUUGACUUGGACCGCCGAAGUAUUUUUUUUCUGUAGUUUCGCCACUACUGCCAUGCAAGCCAAGGAAAACCCAAAACCCAAAGUACUAUAAGCCAGAAUAGGUCCUACGUCCUACGCAAAUUAUCUUGCACAUUGUACUCUUCUACUCACAAGCUAAGAUUGACAUAGAUUGUCAGACUAGUGAUAGAACUACACUCAAUUAAUUCUUACUGAACUCACCAUCACUGACAUACGAGAAUUAGGGCCACUUUGGUUAGCGGGAUUUAGAAAACACAGGAAUGAGACAAACAUAGGAAUACAAGGUCAUGCCAUGUAGAAUUCUAUAGGGAUUGAAAAAACACAUGAAUUAGUAAUAGAAGUUGUUUUGUUAUACCACACGAAAAAUAAAGGAACUUUCUAUUGACACUCAACCAAUUCAUGCAUAAUUUUCAUAGACAGAAAACUGGAAUUCUUAUGGAAUUGUAGGACAGGAAAGUGGUGUAUAUGAUUUCUAGAGGGUUCAUUCUUUUAAACUAAAUUAUCUUCAUAGGAAAAAAAUCCGAUGGAUUAGACUCACAUGAAAUUCUUUACAAAUUCCUUGUAAGGCAAAUACUGACCAAUAGGGGGUGAAUGGGAGAUUCUAACAAAUUAUUCAGAUAAAAUGAACUAACCGAAGACAAACAAAGUAAAUUGUAGUGAUGAAGACAAACUAAUCAAACAAAAAAUAACUCGGAAGGAAUGUAGGCUAACAUGACUGAGACAAAGAUAACAAAUGCUAGAUACAAUAGCAGUGAAGACAAAUUAAAUAUAGCACAUGCAGUAGAAUAGAAAGGAAUACAUCAAAGUCUUAGCAAUAGAUACAAAGAACGUAGGGAGUACUUUUUAGGGGUCAUAACUCUUUGUUAAACCAAAUACUCAUGGACUAUCACAUGUAUAUACUUACAAACACAUUAGUCCCUUAACUGUUUUGUCCAUGAAAUCAUCCAAAACCCUCAGGCGGCCAUGUUUGAAAUGUUGCGGCAACAUCUGCACCAUGCUUAGGAAUGGAUGAAAAGAUAGGCGGGUAAGAAUCGCAGUGAGUGCACAUUUCAAGUAGGUGAUCUAGUCUUUCUGAAAGUCCAACCCUAGUUACAGAAUUCAUUGGUAGCUCGCCGCAACCAAAAAUUGGCCUUGAAAUUUUAUGGACCAUAUCAUAUGAUGCGUCGUGCUGGAGAGGUAUCCUACAAAUAGGCCCUUCCGGCUAAGUCAAAGAUCCAUGAGGUGAUCGAUGUCUCGCAGUUGAAAAAGCACUUGCCACCCAAGUUUGUGAUUAUGAUGUGAGCAUGGUGUCUCCGCGCGCAAUAAACCUCCUUUAAUUUGCUGCCAUUCUGCAGUUUGAGUUCAUCCAAUGUGGGGACAAAGCUAAGCCAAGGCUCAAGGUACAUUGGGUUAUUCAUCCUGAGACUCGUGACACUUGGGAGGAUGCGUUUGUUCUGCAACAGCGCUAUCCUGCUCUUGCGGCUUGGAGUCAAGCCGCGCCUAAAGGUGUGGGGAAUGUUAUGUGAUGGCCAAGCCGGAGCAGGAGGCCCAAGGCCUCACGACGCUACCGAUGGCUGGACCAGGCCUGGAAUGUUGCAUCGGGUAUGGGCGAAACCGAAACAGUAUGUUCCCAAGAGUACUACUCGGUAGCCAUGGAUCCCGCCACCUACAGGUUUUGCAAAAAUUAACGUUGAUAGAGCAGUAGGAGGUAAUGGAGGUCGUGGAGAUUUGUCGUGAUCAGCAAGGAAGGUAUUUAGGAUCAUCUUCGAUCACGUUUGAUGGCAUUGUUGAUGUUCCAUGUAUGGAGGCACUACUAGGAAAAAUCUUAUACACAGAGACUUACCAGUAGUGCGGGACAAAAAUAAGCGCUACUACAAUUUACCACUAGCGCAUGUUAUCCAAACGCGCUGCAGCUAAGAUCAUAGCAGUAGCGCGUCUAACUAUAGAGGCGCUACUACUACAAUUCCCCUUACUAUUCUCGCCAGGCUACCUAUAGUAGUAGCGUGCCUAAGGAAAGCGCGCUGCUGCUAAGAUUGUUGUAGCAGCGUGUUUCGCGCAGGAAGCGCUACUGCUAAGGAAAGGAAAAUAAAAUGAAAAACAUAUAGAAAAGUAAAUGAAAAUGAAAGAAAUAAAAAAGGGGAAGGAAAAAAAGAAAAUGUGAAUGAAAAUAAAUGAAAAAGAAAAAUAAAGGAGAAAUGCGUAACAGCAGCGGGCUUUAUGGAACGCGCUAUAGCUAAUGUAGCAGUAGCGCUUUCCGUGGAACGCGCUGCUGCUACUUUCCACUUAACCAACCGUUCUUCUUCCCCACGCCCACUUCCCCCAAAUCCAACACGCGUACGUCUGUUGUCGCCGCUGUCAUCGCCCGGUCGCCGCGCGCUCUCCCGUCGCCCUCCGCACGCCGUCGACGCCGCCCCCGAUCCCGACCUCGACGCCGUCCCCGACCCCGACCUCGAUGCCCCCCUACAUCGCCGCCCUCCGCCGUGCGCCCGCCGCCCCGACCCCGACCCCGUCCCCGACCUCGACGCCGCGUGCCCCUCUCCCUAACUCUGCCGGCGCCCGAGGUGAGCACGCCCUCCUCCUCCUCCCCUACCUCUGCCUAGCUAGGGUUCCUAGGGUUAAAUUUCAAAGUUCAUCUAAUUAGUUAGGGUUCAUCAAAUUAGAUGCUAAUUAUGGCAGUAGUUGUUAAAUAGAAUUAGUUUUAGAGUUCAUCAAAUUAGUUAGGGUUAAAUUUCAGAGUUCAUCAAAUUAGUUAUGGUUAAAUUUUAGAGUUCAUCAAAUUAGUUAGGGUUCAUUAAAUUUUAGAGUUCAUCAAAUUAGUUAAGGUUAAAUUUUAGACUUCAUCUAACUAGUUUUUUUACUGUUUUUUAGUAAGUGUUUAAUAGAAUUAGUAAGAAAAUUAAUAUAACUAGUUGAACUAGUUUUUUUUAAGUAAAAACUAGUUUAUUUUUAUUUAUAGUAAGUGCUUAAUUGAACUAGUUCAGUUAAUAUAACUAUUUUAUUUUUAGUAUGAAAAUUAAUAGAACUAGUGUACUUUUUUAGUUAAAGCAAUUAUUCCCGCAUCGACGUCGACGAUGCCUAUCCCGCAUCCUCGUCGUCGAGUCGGCGGAGGACACCUGCGUCACCAGAUGGGCCAUGUCCGGGACUGGGCUCCGCCGGUGUGGUACUGGGAGGCGCUACCUACCGGGGGGCGCAGGUUGGUGAGGAGUCAGCCCAUCGUUGACCCGAACCUUCUUUGGUGGCGGUCGCGUGGGCCAGUGACGUUCCAGAGGCUCGAGGACCCCGCGGAGGUGGUGCGUCACCGUGUUAGUGAGGAGGACGCGCACGUCCGUCACUACUUGUUUGCGUUGGAGCACAGGUUCUCCAGGGAUCUCACUAGAGCUAUGAUCCUGUGAUGGUUCCUUCUCUGUGGGUGUCCACCGCCCGCGCCGAUACCCGUCGUGCGCUAGGGUUUUAGUUGUAUUAGUGAUGUUAUAUGUAUGAUACUAUUCGGGAUGUAUUAGUGAUAAUAUUCGACGAUGUACGGACGCAUGAGAUGAUUUACUUUUGCUUAUUGAAUGCAUGCUAAUUUGAAUAUUUAUUUAUUUUACGAUUUGGUUUUGCUUAUUGAAUGCUCAUGUCAAUAUGAGUCCUAUAAGAUAUUUUGAAAUGUAUAUCUUGUGUUGCUCAAAUAGGAUAUGUGCUUGCCCAAGUGGCCGGUCAUUUUUGCAGGUUACACCUCCGAGUGGCCUAUUUUUGCCGGAGUGUUGAUUCAUUUCCGUUCCAGCAAAUUUCAGGCGCCCGAUAUGUCCUAUUUUAGCAAAGGUCAUGCCUGAUUUUUCCAUGAAUUUUGGCAUGACUUGUGCCAGAAUAUGUAGGAAAUAUCGAGUGCCCCGGAUUUGUGUGUUGAGUAUCCUGGUAGUUGCCUUCGAUCAAUUUUCAAUUAAUGUUUCAACUAUGAACAUAGAAAAUGUCUGACGACGAAAAGGAUUUCGAUAUUUGUGAAUACUGCGAAGACGAGCGCGGCCUGUGCGACAGAAUCUUCCUAGAUGAUGAUAGGCGCUUCAGCAUCAAGCUGGACAAGAACUUCGAAGUGGAUACAGUAAGUGAAAGAACAUGCGGUGCCCCCAUGUUUGGUUUUGGUAAUUGAUGACAAUCUCUAUGGACUAAUGGUUGCCUUGAGUUAUAUUUGAAGGAUUUGUCCAUAGGCUUUUCUUGAAGUCCAUGUGUUGGUUUCAAGGAGUUUAUGUGGUGACCAAGGUGUUAUUAAGGAAUUAUCCAAAGAUUGGUCAUGAGUUUAUGUGGUGACCAAGGUGUUAUUAAGGAAUUAUCCAAAGAUUGGUCAUGUGAGAGUAGAACUUAUUGCAAGCAUGUCUUGAAGAAGAAGAUUGUGUGAUCAUUCAUGUUUACCUUCAAGACAUCAUCCAAAUGAAGAGAGUUGGAAAGAGUCAAGGUUGAUCAAGACUAAGUCAAGAGUGAAUCAAGUUGAUCAACACACAAAGCGCACAAGAUGUACCGAGAGGGAUCAAGCGAUCCCAUGGUGUGGUAAGCAUUGUCGAUUACGCUUUGUGUACUAACCCAUGAUCUUUGUGAGAGUUCUUUGUGGGGUUAGGUUGCGGUGUGCAAGUUCAAGUGAAGCAUCAUGAAGAGAUCAAAUGCUUGAAGCUUGCCGUCCAUUGUGGCGACAAUGGACUUAUGAAGAUGUUGCGGUGCGCAAGUUCAAGUGAAGCAUCAUGAAGAGAUCAAAUGCUUGAAGCUUGCCGUCCAUCAUGGUGACAAUGGACUAGUGAAGAUGUGCGGAAGAGUGGCUCACCCAUAGUGGAGUAUGGGGGAGCAAUCAACUAGUCUUCAUCGAGCCAACGCAACCAAGAAAGGUGGUCCAACUUGAGGGAGUCAAGAUCGUCAUCAUCUAGCUCAAGUGGACCAUGUGCAAGGCAAAGGUUUGCUCUUGAUAGGUUUUCUAUUUUACCGGUCUCAUGAUGGUAGUUGGGAGACCGGGUUAUAGGAUCGAUUGCCGUACUAUCAAGGGGGGCUCUCGAUGAGUAGCUUGAUCGUAUCGUUCAUAGAGAGCUCAAACCAUUGCAUCCUUGCAUCAUCUUUGUUGGUUCUUGUUUGGUUCUUCUCUUUGUGAGUUUUGGAGCUUAUGGUCAUCUUGAUGACAAGCUCGAGUUCAUCGAAAACGGAGUUCACUCGCAUCUUCUAUGAUGUUUUCGAUGUUGGAAGUUAUGCCGGUUCUUCUCGGUUGGAGGUUUCACUCCUCUAUUUUUUGGCAUACCUCCCCUGCCUCUUCUUACUAUAACCAGUCGCUGUUUUGAUGCUACUCGUCUUUCUCAAUCCAACAAGCUUGAGUUUGCUCAAUUCGGAGCUCAUAUGCAGAAGUUAUGGCAGUUUUGGUUUCCUAGCGGUAGUACCGCGGCCAGAGCGGCAGUACCGCUUGUCACCCCAAGCGGUAGUACCGCUGUCCAAAGCGGUAGUACCGCCUAUGGCCAUAAGCGGUAGUACGGCUACGGUUCCGCGCAGUAGUUGCACGGCAGUAAGGCACGGUAGUUCCACCUAUAAGCGGUAGUACCGCCCUGAUGGGCGGUAGUACCGCCUAUAAGCGGUAGUACCGCUCCGGUCGGGCGGUAGUACCGCUGCUGCAUUUUUGGUCCCGUGUUCUGCUCCUCCAGCGGUAGUACCGCUGGGGUGCGCGGUAGUACCGCUUAUAAGCGGUACUACCGCCCCAAGGUUCAUGUUUGGUUGCUCCUUUUCCCUGCUUCUUCCGCCAGAGCGGUAGUACCGCUCGUGGAGCGGUAGUACCGCUCGUGUGCGGGCUGAGCACAUAACGGUUGGAUUUUUUCCCUUCUAUAAAAGGGGGUCUUCUUCCCCAUUGAACCUUAUCCUUUGAGCUCGUGUUCUUCCCCCAUUGUUGAUCUUCUUCGAGCUUGCUAACUCUCAAUCCCUCCAUGGAUUCUUGCUAGUUUUUGAGGGAAAAGAGAGAGGAGAUCUAGAUCCACAUUUCCACCAAUCACUUUCUCCUCUUUGUGAGGGGAACCCCUUGGAUCUAGAUCUUGGAGUUCUUGGUGUUCUCCUUCUUGUUCUUCCUCUCAUUUUCUUCCCUAGCAUUAGUUGCUUCGGUGGGAUUUGAGAGAGAAGGACUUGGGCACUCCGUGUGCCCUUGCCAUUGCAUUUGGUGCAUCGGUUUGAGUUCUCCACGGUGAUACGUGGAAGUUACAAGUUGAGAAGCUUAUUACUCUUGGGUGCUUGGUGCCCUUGAGCUUGUUCCUCUUGGGUGCUUGGGCGCCCUAGACGGUUGGUGGUGUUCGGAGCUCAAUCAUUGUGGUGUAAAGCUCCGGGCAAGCGUCGGGGUCUCCAAUUAGGUUGUGGAGAUCGCCCCGAGCANNNNNNNNNNNNNNNNNNNNNNNNNNNNNNNNNNNNNNNNNNNNNNNNNNNNNNNNNNNNNNNNNNNNNNNNNNNNNNNNNNNNNNNNNNNNNNNNNNNNNNNNNNNNNNNNNNNNNNNNNNNNNNNNNNNNNNNNNNNNNNNNNNNNNNNNNNNNNNNNNNNNNNNNNNNNNNNNNNNNNNNNNNNNNNNNNNNNNNNNNNNNNNNNNNNNNNNNNNNNNNNNNNNNNNNNNNNNNNNNNNNNNNNNNNNNNNNNNNNNNNNNNNNNNNNNNNNNNNNNNNNNNNNNNNNNNNNNNNNNNNNNNNNNNNNNNNNNNNNNNNNNNNNNNNNNNNNNNNNNNNNNNNNNNNNNNNNNNNNNNNNNNNNNNNNNNNNNNNNNNNNNNNNNNNNNNNNNNCACGAUCUUUCAGUAAGUCACAACGACAAGUCUUUUUUCGUAAUUAAGCAUGACAUCUGCUUCAUUUGCUUCAACUUAUAAUUUAAAUUUUUUACUAUUCUACUAGCGUAUCCCCUGCCAUGCAAGACUUUUUGUCUUGGAUAAGAUAGGUUUCAGUCCUAUGCAAACUACUACGGAGGUAAAGAGAGUUAACUUGAAGACCGAGCAUGGUUAUACUUUCCACGCAAAAUUAUACAACGCAGACACCUACACCUAUUUUGAAUGCAAAACUUGGCAAGCACUAUGCAAGGCUUAUGCAUUUGAGCCUGAUAUGUUUAUCACCUUUGAUAUUCGUCCCGAAGAUGAUAUUGAAGGUAAUAGAGACAUCUGGGUCGAUGUGCAGACGCCUCCAGUUAUACCAUUAUGUGAUUUUCUCAACCAUAUUUAUUUCUUUGAUAUUGUUUAUUCAAAAAUAGUUGACAACUAAUUUCUAUUGACAGCUUAUUUCCAUUCAAGCAAACAUGUCCGGCGCUUGGUAGACAUGACCGUCCAUUGUCCCGGGGCUGAACUAAACUGCGAGGAGAUAGGUCAUUAUGUUUCAUGGCUUGAGGAUCUUCAUACUGUCAAGACAAAUUAUUUUUCUGGACUUAAAAAUCUUAGUACUCAAAACGUGCGACCAAUAGUGUUCGUACUGAACUACGGUAACAUCUAUUUAGAAAAGAUGGUAAGAUUUUUACUAUUUGUCCUCAGUGCAUCUUUUGCAUACAUUAUUUUUUAAGCUAAACUUCAUUGCUAAGUAUGUUACUAUACGAUGUUCGUCAACAAGGACUCCCCAUGAAUGUUGUGCCUCAUUGGAUCGAGACUAAAGGUCGCAUGAGAAUUGUUAGCUUACGGCCAAGAUAUCCUACAAUGCACUUCAGUGCAUACAAGAUUUCUAAUAGCAAGGAAUGCUUAAUAGUGAAAGACUGGAGCAAAAUUAUGAACGAUCGCAGAGAAGUACUAGGGGGCAGCAAUCAGAAGCGCAGCCCACGAUUUGGAGACAGGUUCAUCUGCAUGCUCCAACUUGAUGAAGCAGGAGUGCUACACAUGUUUUAUGCUAUUUUACCUGAGAGAGAGCAGCAGGAGUGAUUAGCUAGCUAGAAAUGAGUUAUGAUGAUUAAAUAGCUAGUGUUGGUGGUAAUGACUGAUGAUUAUUAUUAGCUAGUGUUGGUGGUGAUUAGAUAGCUACCGCAGCUAGUGUUUGGUGGUGAUUAGCUAGCUAGAAUGAGUUUGAAGAUGAUGAUGUGUACUGUUGGUGGUAAUGACUAUGAUGAUGAUUAAAUAGCUACUGUUGAUGGUAAUGACUAUGAUGAUGAUUAAAUAGCUUGUGUUGGUGGAUUAGAUUCAAGUGGAGGCAACAUGUGGUGCACAUCGAAAGUACUACUAGUCCAAACUAGAUCAAGUUUGGAUUAGUAGUAUACUUUUGACAUGCACCACAUGUUCCCUCCACUUAAACCUAAUCCAUCUUCAUUUGACACACUGUUAUGGACAUAUUGAUAUAACAACCUCAUAAUUGGUAUUGUACCAAAAUUUGUAUAACGGCGUAUAAAUACACUAAAAAUUAAAAAAAAUGAGAAAAGGAAUACUAGUAGCGAUGGAGAGUAAACAUGCUACUACUAGCUAUAUUAGCAGUAGCGCUGGGGUGAACAAACGAUGCUGCAGCAGCGCGUGUAGCACGCGCUACUGCUAAGGAAUAGCUGUAGUGCCUUACCAGUAGCGCGUCCUCCCGCGCUACUGAUAUGCAAAAUACCCGCGCUACUGCUAGGGUUUUCCCUAGUAGUGAGGCACUAGCAUGCAUGAAUCCCAAGCUCUAGUUGAUGAUCUUUUUGUAUGAUGUGGGAAUUGCACCAUGUAUUGCUCAUGUGCAAAGGCACGUAUAUGUGAUGUACAAGAGGUGGGCCAUGACCUCAACUAUAUAAGGAACUAGGAGGUGGGCCCAAUACACAGAUAUGCACAACACAUAUACUCANNNNNNNNNNNNNNNNNNNNNNNNNNNNNNNNNNNNNNNNNNNNNNNNNNNNNNNNNNNNNNNNNNNNNNNNNNNNNNNNNNNNNNNNNNNNNNNNNNNNNNNNNNNNNNNNNNNNNNNNNNNNNNNNNNNNNNNNNNNNNNNNNNNNNNNNNNNNNNNNNNNNNNNNNNNNNNNNNNNNNNNNNNNNNNNNNNNNNNNNNNNNCAGUCGAAGCGGCACCGCUGCUGAUGCAAACACUGGACCGGAACUCCUCAAAUGACGCCGUAGGCAAGCCCUUGGUCAUGAUAUCGGCAAAUUGUUGGGAAGUAGGGACGUGUAGAACACGAAUAUGGCCAAGGGCCACCUGUUCCCGAACAAAAUGAAUAUCCAACUCAAUAUGCUUGGUCCGACGAUGAUGUACCGGGUUGGCGGAGAGGUAGACCGCCGAGACGUUGUCGCAGUAGACCACCGUAGCACGAUCCACAGGACAAGAGAGCUCAUGAAGGAGCUGGCGAAGCCACGAACACUCGGCGACGACGUUGGCCAUCGCACGAUACUCAGCCUCAGCACUGGAGCGGGAGACCGUAGGCUGCCGCUUGGACGACCACGAGAUGAGUGAGGGUCCAAGGAAGACACAAUAGCCCGAAGUGGAGCGACGAGUGUUAGGGCAGCCCGCCCAGUCGGCAUCGGAGUAGGCGGUGAGGGCGGUGUCGGCGGAGGUGUAGAGCGUGACGCCGAGAUCCAUAGUGCCACAGAUAUAGCGGAGAAUCCGCUUGACAGUGGCCCAUUGAACAUCCCGAGGAGCAUGCAUAUGGAGACACACCUGCUGCACGGCAUACUGGAUCUCCGGUCGAGUCAGAGUGAGGUACUGGAGAGCACCAAUGAUAGACUGGUAGAAUGCAGCAUCCGAAGCUGGAGAAACAUCCGUGGCAGAGAGCUUGGCCUUCGUAUCAACAGGCGUAGCGGCGGGCUUGCAGUUAAGCAUGCCAGCAUGAUCCAGGAGCUCAUGAGCGUACUUCCACUGAUGAAGAAAGAAGCCAUCCGGACGGCGCACCACCUCAACACCGAGGAAGUGGUGCAAAGGAUCCAAGUCCUUGAUGGCGAACUCAACACGAAGACGAUCAGUGAGCUGACUGAGAAGGCCAGCUGUACAUGCUGUCAGGAUGAUGUCGUCGACAUAGAGCAGCAAGUAGGCCGUGUCGGAGCCCUGGUGAUAGACGAAGAGCGAUGCGUCCGAGCGGGUGGAGCGGAACCCGAUCUGGUGUAGAAACGCCGCGAUGCGCUGGUACCAGGCGCGCGGAGCCUGCUUGAGUCCGUAUAAGGACCGCGAAAGUAGGCACAUGUGGUCGGGAAGUGCGGGAUCAACAAACCCCGUGGGCUGCUGGCAGAAGACCUGCUCCUCGAGGUGACCAUGAAGGAAGGCGUUGGAGAUGUCCAUCUGGUGCACCGGCCAAGCACGGGAGACUGCAAGGUGGAGAACCGUGCGAAUCAUGCCGGGCUUAACAACCAGAGCGAAGGUGUCGGUGAAGUCGAUGCCAGCACGUUGCCGGAAGCCACGAACAACCCAGCGCGCUUUAGUGAUCAAGGGUACCAUCAGGACGGAGCUUGUGUUUGAAGACCCACUUCCCGAUAAUCACGUUGGCGUGCCGGGGACGGGGAACAAGCUGCCACGUCCGGUUGCGCAGUAGGGCGUCAAACUCCUCUUGCAUCGCAGCCAUCCAGAGCGGGUCACGAAGAGCAGCUCGAACGGAGGACGGCAACAGCGAUGGCGCAGAGGUGGAUGCCGCAUGGACGUAGUCAUCCGAGGCGUAGCGCGAGCUCGGGCGAAAAACGCCCGCACAGGCGCGGGUGACCGGACCGGGCGCCGGUGAGGAGGGCGCAGCGGGCACCGGGACCGAGGCCACAGGAGCCGCGAGGGCCGUGGGGGCCGCGGGGGCCGGGGUCGCGGGGGUCGCAGCUGGGGCCGACACCACGGGCGCCGAGGCCGCGGGAAGAGGAAGCGUCAGGGGCGCCACUGCCGCGGCCAGAGGGGGCGCUACAUGCGGGGAACGCGCCUCAAAGCCAGGGCGGGCCAAGGGCGGUGCGCGAGCGCCCUCGGAGAGGCGUCGAGGAGCCCGCGUCAUCGGUGGCGGGAGGAACAACCGGGGGUACCUGCUGAAACGGAAACACAUGCUCAUCAAAGUAAACGUGCUGGGAAGUGAACACACGGUAGGAGACGGGAUCGUAGCACCGAUAUCCCUUGGAGUUAGAGGGGUAGCCAAUGAAGAUGCAAGCGACAGAACGGGGUGCAAGUUUGUGGGGAGCGGUGUCGGCAGUGCUAGGAUAGCAAAGGCACCCGAAAAUACGCAAGCCAUCAUAAGAUGGGGGCGUACCAAAGAGAAGAUUGUGAGGUGCGUAGUUCCACCGUGGGCGGCAGGGUCGAAGGUUAAGGAGAAGUGAAGCAGUAGCAAGUGUGUCCGACCAAAAACGAGGGAGCACGUUAGCAUGGAACAGGAGCGUGCGAACGCAGUCGUUCAGAGUGCAAAGGACGUGUUCGGCUCGACCGUUCUGCUGUGAAGUAUACGGGCAUGUGAGACGAAAAACUGUGUUGUGGUGCGACAGAAAAGUGCGGAAAGCAAGAUUGUCGAACUCUUUUCCAUUGUCAGUCUGAAGAGCAAGAAUGCGACGCCCAAACUGCGUGCUGACAUAGGAGUAAAAAGGCAUCAAAGUGGAGAGUGCAUCCGACUUUCGUCGCAAAGGAAAAGUCCACACAUAGUGAGAAUAAUCAUCAAGGAUAACCAGAUAAUAUAAAUAGUCCGAACUACUAGGAACCGGAGAGGUCCACACAUCGCUUUGAAUCAACUGAAAGGAAAAAGAAGCUAUGGUGGUGGAGCUAUUAAACGGAAGGCGGACAUGUUUGCCGACACGACAGGCAUGACAGGUGUGAUCCUCUAUCUUAUUACAACUGAAAUUGAAACUCCUAAGAAUAUGACGAAGUGUGACGGGGUUGGGAUGACCAAAACGAGCGUGCCAGAGAUCGACGCUAGUAGAGAGAGCAACCGGUGCGGCGGUGGAGGUGGACGGCGGAUGCACCGGAUAGAGCUCGUCGGGGCUGUCACAUCGGUGAAGUAUCAUCCUGGUUCGAGCGUCCUUGACACAAAAACCAAGCUCGUCAAAUUCAACAGCAACAGGAUUUUCACGAGUUAAACAACGAACAGAAACAAGAUUCUUAAUAAUAUGAGGUGACACAAGUAUGUUAGACAAAGUUAAAGGCAUGGAAUUAGAAGGAAAAGAAGUGUGCCCGACAUGUGUGAUAGGAAGUGUGGAACCGUCGCUGACAAUGAUGCGGCGGUCGGUGGUGACGGGAGUGAAGGAGGCAAGAUUACCAGGAUGAGCAAACAUGUGAGCCGUAGCCCCGGUGUCCAUGUACCAAUCACCGCCUCCAGUGUAUGUGUUCGGCGUGGGCGCGGUGUGCAGCGCGGCGAGGAGCGCCGGAUCCCAAGGCGCCGGCGACAAGGCCGGCGAGGGCGGCGGUGGAGCCACAGGGAGGCCGUAGCCGCCGCUCAGCUGCGGCGGUGGGUAUCCUCCAUAGGGUUGCGGAGCCGCGUAGUACGCCUGGUGCGCUGGCGGGCGCGGCACGGGGAGGGUCGGUGCAGGAGCCCGUGGAACCGGCAUGGUGUAGCCAUGAACAACACCGGCUUGGAGGAGCGGCGGAUGAAGCCCGUGGAACCUCACGCUCAUCCCCAACACCGUCGAUGGUGGACCAGUCAUGGAACUCGGGGACGAGGCUGGAGUCGACGGUGCCGUUCACGUGGUCGACGAGGUGAUACUCCCGGAACACGAGGGAGAAAUACGCCUUUCACGUGUAGUAGGAGGAGUCCGUCUGCGAGAGACGAACCGGUACCCGCUCGAAGAUGUUGAGGUUGCGGAUGUCGUUGACGUCGGGAGGGUUGGCAUCGGCGAACGGGUUGGAGUUGGUGGACGCGGAGGAGGUGACGGACGACAUGGCGAGGGUGGGACGGCGCGGACGGCUCGGGUUAGGGUUUUAGGGACGGAUGGCAGCGGGCGGCGCGGGUGUAGCGGCGGCAGUAGGCGGCUCGGGUGGAUCGGGUGUGGGCAGGUGACGACAGCAGUUGGGGUGGGCGGCUCGGGAUGAGCGGGGAGAAGGGAGCAGCGGCAGCCGAAGGGUCGGGCGGCGGCGGCGACAACGGGAUCGGGCGGCGGCGCGGGUAGGGAGGGAAGGCGCGGCGGCAGGGAGAGAUGGCGGCAGCCGGCGCGGGUAGGCGAGCGAGCGGCGGCGGCGGCGGCGGCGGCGGAAGACUAGGGUUAGAACCCGAAAACUAAUACCAUGUAUGAUGUGGGAAUUGCAUGAUGUAUUGAUCAUGUGCAAAGGCAUGUAUAUAUGAUGUAUAAGAGAUGGGUCACGACCUCAACUAUACAAGAAACUAGAAGGUGGGCCCAAUACACAAAUAUGCACAACACACAUACUCAACACUUUUGAUUAGGCGUGUUCUUGUUUCGUCAGACAGUUUAACAAUGAUCAGGGACAUAGAUGAAAACACAGUGAGAAACAUGCAAUCGUUAUCCGCGAGUUGAAUUCUAGGAGAAAAGAUUUUGAAGCCUGCCAAUUUUUUUAUGAGUCUAGGAGAAGAAACUCGGAAGCUGGUAGUCUAGCUAAAUUUUCUUUAUCUCUGAAUUUGGUAGGCAUGUACGGCUAGCCACAUAUCUCUUCCUUUCAACCUCGUAGAAAGGGAAAGAGAUAAAAGACGAGGGCAAGCAGAGGGCAGGGGGGCGACUAGAGAGAACAUUUCCUCUUUGACCUCUACAGCUCAGCAUCUGAUAUUCCUACGUACCUCCCUUCCUUCCUCGAAUAUGAAUUCCUGUAUGUGUGUGAAUAACAUUGUUGCAACUUGCAUAAAAGAAAAGCGUCCGUGCGGGAGUUGGCCGUUGCUGGACUGCUGUUUUCUGUACCGCGGCGCGGGUGCAAUAACUACUCCCUGGCUUGGCUUUGACGAUACGGUGCUCGGUUCAGUUGGGAAAAGUAGUACAGUAUAUGCUCACCCUCCGUCCAGCAAAAAAGUGUGAUUAUACUCAACAAAAAGGAGAAUUGUUGGUCGCAAGCAAACUACACCGAGCUCCCAGCAGCUGGUCAAAGCCUCUGACAGAAGUGGGACGCAAAGCUGGCCAUUGCCAAGCAAAGCCAUACAGAGAAAGAUCAAACAACAAAGUUUGCUCAGGCAGAAGCAGCGCCCAGCGAGUAACGGACCCGAGUUGAAACAGCGAUGAAGUUGUAGAAUCCAAUAAUAAAUCCAUCAAAUCAGACUACACACAUAAUAGAGUAGAUACACCCAUAGACAGGCCAUCGGCCCAACAUUUGUCCAACAAAACCACCACCUAAUAAUGCUACUAGACAAGGGUAUGCAUGGAGAAUAGAUCUGAAGACA